UACAGAGGGGGCUAGCGUUGUCCGGAAUCAUUGGGCGUAAAGAGCGCGCAGGCGGCUUGGCAAGUCGGGUGUGAAAUCCCGGGGCUCAACCCCGUGACUGCAUCCGAUACUGUCAGGCUAGAGGUAGGUAGGGGAGAUCGGAAUUCCUGGUGUAGCGGUGAAAUGCGCAGAUAUCAGGAGGAACACCGGUGGCGAAGGCGGAUCUCUGGGCCUUACCUGACGCUCAGGCGCGAAAGCUAGGGGAGCGAACAGG
rnacentral:rRNA from 1 species